rnacentral:rRNA from 1 species
GACGAACGCUGGCGGCGUGCUUAACACAUGCAAGUCGAACGGAAAGACCCUGAUUUUGUGCGCUGCUGGAGUGCCGAACGGGGGCGUGACACGUGAGCAACCUGCUCUUGAUUUUGGGAGAGCAUCAGGAAACUGGGGUUACUACCAGAUAGGAGACCCUGCAGCAGGGAGGGGAUUGGAAAUUUUCGGCGGUCGGGGAUGGACUGGCGGCUUAUCAGCUUGUUGGUGGGGUAGUGGCUUACCAAGGCGUGGACGGGUAGCCGGCCUGAGAGGGUGACCGGCCACAUUGGGACUUAGGUGCGGCCGAGACGGCUACGGGUGGAAGCAGUGGGGAAUAUUGCACCAUGGGCGGAGGCCUGAUGCAGCAACGCCGCGUGCGGGAUGGCGGCCUUCGGGGUAUAAACCGCUUUCGCCUGUAACGAACCGUGAGUGACGGUAAUGGAUAAAGAAGAAACGGCUAACUACGUG